rnacentral:rRNA from 1 species
GAUGAACGCUGGCGGCGUGCCUAAUACAUGCAAGUCGAGCGAACGGACGAGAAGCUUGCUUCUCUGAUGUUAGCGGCGGACGGGUGAGUAACACGUGGAUAACCUACCUAUAAGACUGGGAUAACUUCGGGAAACCGGAGCUAAUACCGGAUAAUAUUUUGAACCGCAUGGUUCAAAAGUGAAAGACGGUCUUGCUGUCACUUAUAGAUGGAUCCGCGCUGCAUUAGCUAGUUGGUAAGGUAACGGCUUACCAAGGCAACGAUGCAUAGCCGACCUGAGAGGGUGAUCGGCCACACUGGAACUGAGACACGGUCCAGACUCCUACGGGAGGCAGCAGUAGGGAAUCUUCCGCAAUGGGCGAAAGCCUGACGGAGCAACGCCGCGUGAGUGAUGAAGGUCUUCGGAUCGUAAAACUCUGUUAUUAGGGAAGAACAUAUGUGUAAGUAACUGUGCACAUCUUGACGGUACCUAAUCAGAAAGCCACGGCUAACUACGUGCCAGCAGCCGCGGUAAUACGUAUGUGGCAAGCGUUAUCCGGAAUUAUUGGGCGUAAAGCGCGCGUAGGCGGUUUUUUAGUCUGAUGUGAAAGCCCACGGCUCAACCGUGGAGGGUCAUUGGAAACUGGAAAACUUGAGUGCAGAAGAGGAAAGUGGAAUUCCAUGUGUAGCGGUGAAAUGCGCAGAGAUAUGGAGGAACACCAGUGGCGAAGGCGACUUUCUGGUCUGUAACUGACGCUGAUGUGCGAAAGCGUGGGGAUCAAACAGAAUUAGAUACCCUGGUAGUCCACGCCGUAAACGAUGAGUGCUAAGUGUUAGGGGGUUUCCGCCCCUUAGUGCUGCAGCUAACGCAUUAAGCACUCCGCCUGGGGAGUACGACCGCAAGGUUGAAACUCAAAGGAAUUGACGGGGACCCGCACAAGCGGUGGAGCAUGUGGUUUAAUUCGAAGCAACGCGAAGAACCUUACCAAAUCUUGACAUCCUUUGACAACUCUAGAGAUAGAGCCUUCCCCUUCGGGGGACAAAGUGACAGGUGGUGCAUGGUUGUCGUCAGCUCGUGUCGUGAGAUGUUGGGUUAAGUCCCGCAACGAGCGCAACCCUUAAGCUUAGUUGCCAUCAUUAAGUUGGGCACUCUAAGUUGACUGCCGGUGACAAACCGGAGGAAGGUGGGGAUGACGUCAAAUCAUCAUGCCCCUUAUGAUUUGGGCUACACACGUGCUACAAUGGACAAUACAAAGGGCAGCGAAACCGCGAGGUCAAGCAAAUCCCAUAAAGUUGUUCUCAGUUCGGAUUGUAGUCUGCAACUCGACUACAUGAAGCUGGAAUCGCUAGUAAUCGUAGAUCAGCAUGCUACGGUGAAUACGUUCCCGGGUCU